rnacentral:rRNA from 1 species
GGAUGAACGCUGGCGGCGUGCUUAAUACAUGCAAGUCGAACGGAGACUGUAGCAAUACUGUCUUAGUGGCGAACGGGUGAGUAACGCGUUGGUGACCUGCCCCGAAGAGGGGGAUAACAGUCCGAAAGGAUUGCUAAUACCCCAUGUGGUCGUUUGGAUUAGAUGCCUUAUGACUAAACGGAUUUAUUCGCUUCGGGAGGGGCCUGCGUCCCAUCAGCUAGUUGGUGAGGUAAUAGCUUACCAAGGCGAUGACGGGUAGGGGACCUGAGAGGGUGGCCCCCCACAAUGGAACUGAAACACGGUCCAUACACCUACGGGUGGCAGCAGUAGGGAAUAUUGGUAAUCUGGGAAACCGGGAACCAGCAACGCCGCGUGCGCGAUGACGGCCUUCGGGUUGUAAAGCGCUUUUUAAAGGGAUGAGGAAGGACAGUACCUUUAGAAUAAGCCUCGGCUAACUACGUGCCAGCAGCCGCGGUAAAACGUAGGAGGCGAGCGUUAUCCGGAUUUACUGGGCGUAAAGCGUGUGUAGGCGGUUUGAUAAGUUGGAUGUGAAAGCUCCCGGCUUAACUGGGAGAGGUCGUUCAAAACUGUCAGACUUGAGAGUGGUAGAGGGAGAUGGAAUUCCGCGUGUAGUGGUGAAAUGCGUAGAUAUGCGGAGGAACACCAGUGGCGAAAGCGGUCUCCUGGCCCACUUCUGACGCUCAGACACGAAAGCUAAGGUAGCAAACGGGAUUAGAGACCCCGGUAGUCUUAGCUGUAAACGAUGUGAACUUAGUGUCGGUGGGGCUAAAUCCAUCGGUACUGUAGCUAACGCGAUAAGUUCACCGCCUGGGGGCUACGGCCGCAAGGCUAAAACUCAAAGGAAUUGACGGGGCCCCGCACAAGCGGAGGAACAUGUGGUUUAAUUCGAUGAUACGCGAGGAACCUUACCUGGGCUUAAAUGUAGAGUGCAUUUUCUAGAGAUAGGAAUUCCCUUCGGGGCUUUCUGCAAGGUGCUGCAUGGUUGUCGUCAGCUCGUGCCGUGAGGUGUCGGGUUAAGUCCCAUAACGAGCGCAACCCUUAUCGUUAGUUGCCAUCUGGUAAAGCAGGGGACUCUAGCGAAACUGCCACCGUAAGGUGAGAGGAAGGUGGGGAUGACGUCAAAUCAGCACGGCCCUUAUGUCCAGGGCUACACACGUGUUACAAUGGUCGGUACAGAGGGCAGCUACCUGGUGACAGGAUGCUAAUCUCGAAAACCGGUCUCAGUUCGGAUCGAAGUCUGCAACUCGACUUCGUGAAGCUGGAUUCGCUAGUAAUCGCGCAUCAGCCAUGGCGCGGUGAAUACGUUCCCGGGCCU